rnacentral:rRNA from 1 species
UACGUAGGGUGCAAGCGUUGUCCGGAAUUAUUGGGCGUAAAGAGCUCGUAGGCGGUGUGUCACGUCGGCCGUGAAAACCUGGGGCUCAACUCUGGGCGUGCGGUCGAUACGGGCAUCACUUGAGUUCGGCAGGGGAGACUGGAAUUCCUGGUGUAGCGGUGAAAUGCGCAGAUAUCAGGAGGAACACCGGUGGCGAAGGCGGGUCUCUGGGCCGAUACUGACGCUGAGGAGCGAAAGCAUGGGUAGCGAACAGG